GGUGGGUCGUGCGUCAGCGUUUUUUAUUCGUGUGUUGACGAAAGUCUUUGAAGUGUUCCUCCGCUUUAACGUUUUGUCAUUAUUAUGAAUGAUAGAUGUGCUUCUCAUUUUGAGUUGAAAAUCGAAGGAGGUCGUCUCUCUUUGAGUCGAGUCCGAAUUUGUUUUGUUACAUUUGCGACUCGCCUGGGUGUGAUCCAGCUGUCGUUACGAAAGGCAACAGGUGAUGGCUGUCGUGUGAAUCUUUCUCCAAGCAUUCAUGCUGCUUUUGGUGGUGAAUGGUGUUUGCGAAUUGGCACAGAGAAUUAAUUGGAGGGUUAAAAGUGAAAAGGCAGUGACGUCCCACUUAAGUAGCUAAUGAAUUACGUAAUCUGGAGCUGUUUAAAACUCAAUUCGCUGACCUGGUCAGAUGAAAGUCUUUGUGCUUUUCAUGAAGUAGUACUUAUCGUCAUGGUCAAUGCGACCUAUGUCUUUGGCAAUCUGAGGUUUGAGAAUGAGUUUGGAAAGGCGGGGAAAUUAAUUUUAUCAGUAUUUAUGGGGCACUUUUAAUUUCAUUCUUUGUUCUCUCCAUCUUUCUUUUAUUCUUCUGUGCCAUGUGUCUGCAACUUGUCAACAAUGUUCUUGAUGUGUUAUUUACUGUUUCAAGUGUCUGAAUUGUUUUUGGUCUUUGAAAAUGCAUUUUGUUUUCUUUCUGUCGAUGAGUGCUCGUUCUGGUGUGUGUGGUUUGCCUGUUCUUAUUGCUAUUCUGUUCUUGCUUGUUUAUUGCUGGACUUGUCAUGAAAGUGCUGUGAAUUUCUGCCAUCUCUUUUGAAAGUGUUUUGCAUUGAUUUCGUACUCUCUGCUCUUGCCACUGAUUUGCUGUUCUGUUCUUGUUUGUUUAUUGCUGGACUCGAAGUGCUCUGAAUUUCUGCCCUCUCUUUUGAAAGUGUUUUAUUUUGUACUCUCUGCUCUUGCCACUGACUGAAAUCUUGAAGUGCUUACUUGUUGUUGAUGAACUUGUCUUGAAAAUGCUCUGAAUUUAUCUGCCCUGCCUCUGAAAGUGUUUUGUGUUUGAUUUGGUACUCUCUGCUCUUGCCACUGCUUAUUUUUUGUUGAACAUUUGAGUUUUGUCGAUAAACCCUGUGCCUUGCCCUUGCCAUUUACUGAUUGCUCCUAUAUAUAUGUUACCGCUCUGCUUGCUGUGCUUUUUUUUGUCCUUUAGUGUUCUGCAUUUGUUUAUUUUGAAUGACUGUUUUCAUGUUGAUGCUUUACUGUUUGGAUUGAAAUUUUCUUGACACUGUGCUGUGUUCUCCAUGCAAUAUUUUCUGUCUUAUUUGUCUUAAUCUCUAUCUCAUAUCAUUUAAAUGGCAGUAUCUACCUACUUUGGGUUUACUGUCCUGUUCUCCAUCUUUCUUUAAUUCUUUCUGGGGAUUUGGUUUCAAAGCCUUUUCAUUCUCAUACUUUAUCACUCAAAGAUGCUAUUGCAUAUUGUACUGGGUGCUGCCAGUAUUCAUGACUUAGAUAAACUUCAGAGGUGCAGCUCCAAUUAAUUUUCACCACCAUGACAAUGCAGUCAAGAUUUUCUUUAAAGUCAUUCUAAUGGACCAAUCAGCAUAUAUAGAGCUAGGGAUUCUCUGAUAUUCCCCCAUGGUUUGCAACUUUCUUCUAUAUUUUCCACCAAACAUUCUUAGCCGUUUGCUUUUCUAGAACAAGCUUGUGACAUCUGCUCCGCUAAUCACCUGUAUAUUAAUUUCCCCUCUGGUAAGUACAUUUGCAUAUCAAGUGCUCUGAUAUUCUAAACUUUAGCAGUGUCUUUGAAACUGAUUGCUGUUUUUCUUUUCCAUUGUAGGUUUGAUUUGGAUUCCAUACACUUGUCAUGGCAUUGGUCUUUCAUUGAUGAUUAUUUGUAUCUAAUUACCAUGAACAACCGUAAGUAUUAUUAGAUUUAUGUUCAGACUUUUGAUUUGAUUUUUAUUAGAGUACAAACUAAUACUUAUGUCAAUCCUUCAGGCUCAAUUACCACGGCAUGAUUGACAUUUCAAAAUGGUUCUGCCGCAGAGGUCGCACUUCUUUGCUCGAUGACUAGGGCAUUUACUCGAUGAGGGAGAUGGAUUUCAACGAAACACCCACACUGCUGGCACGUAUUGCUCUGUUUUAUUUUGACCUAAACUAUGCAUUCUGAGAGUUACGAUUGUAAGUUUUACUUUCUCUUUACCUUUUCAGGACUCGAAGUUGUGUCGCACAUUUUUUCCUUUUCGUUUGAGAGAGAACUUCCUGUGCUUUGCUGAAAUUGAUGUCUUCCUGUGAACAAUGCGCACAGCUUUCUCUCUUUAAUUUCUCUCUGAAAGCCGUUUAAGGAACUCCUUCAUCCUCUUUUUCGGUAUGACGCAGCCAACCAAGCAAAGUGUCAAUUUGGCGGAUCUACCCACUCAGUUACGCUUGUUGUCUCCCUCUGUUGUGAGCGUGGUGUGCCAAAGCUAAGUACCCUUCUAUUUUCUUUUUACUCAUUGUCAAGUUUUAGACAUUCCUCUACCACCACCUAUAGUAACAAUUUCAGCAAAAGAAAAGGGUAGUUUGAGUUUGCACACACGAGUCCAAAUGGUGUCAAGCUUCCUUCAAUUUUAUUUAAAUAACUUCAAUCUUUAGGGUGCUAAAAAUUAUAUAAACAUGCUGUCAUACGAACUGGCACUAAUUCUUCCCCAUAAUCGCUAAAAGAAACAUGCAUCUCACCCCAGCCACCUCCCUGCCCUUUCUCUGCCUUGAACUCUGAUGACAAGUGAAUUCCCUUACUACCAUUCCUUUUCUGAAUACUGAAUUUGAAGUGCCCAUUAUUAUGUCAAUGUUUGAGGAUGUUCUUUUGAAUGUGUCUUUGUCAUGUUCUGUCCAUUAUUUUGCAAUCUUCCUGUGCUGUUGUUCAACCUUGUUUCUUGAAAGUGUGUGAUUGCUCAUGGUUCUGCUGCAUUUUGUAUGAGCUAUACUACUUGUAUAUAUCUCUCGUGUGCUGUGUUUUGCCCUCUGUUCUGCUACCUUGUUUCUUAAAAGUGUUUGAUUGCUCAUGGUUGUGCUGCAAGUUGUCCCUGUACUUUUAUAUGUGUGAAUUUCUCUUGUGUUUAUGUGCCUUUUGUAUUCUGGUAUGUCCUUAUGCUGCUUACUAAGUGAAUCUGACAUUUUUAUUGCAAUGUUUUAUUGAAUUUUAUGUUAUCCCUUUGAAUUUUGAACAGGCAUUUUUGUCUCUCUGUCUUGUGGAUUUUUUGUGGUUUGGUUUGUUUAAUUUGUGUGUGUUUGUGACAUGAUCUCUGUACUGCCCCCUAACCCCCCUCUUUUCCUCUUGAUCUUCCCCAAAAAUUCCUUGAUUCAUACUCCUGUUUGGCAUACCUCUUUUAAAUAAGCCAGUCGACUUCAAUUAUUCUGCAAGUAAAAACUUGUAAAAGGUUUUAUUUGCACUUUGGUCUCUACUGUGCACUCUCAAACUAUCCACAACUAUAGGAGGUGUUUAUUAAAGUAGUGUAUGUAAAAUCAAUUUUGUUACUAAUGUGUUGCACUUUAUUCAGCUUGCAGGACGGUCAGUUUGGAGAAUUGCUCUGCCUGUUGUGUGUUGCGGCUUGUUGAUACUCUACUGGGACCAUUCACUUCCACACGACAAAUGGCUGCAUCUCAACGCUGUUUCAUGUCUAAGAUUCAACACCACUCCCAACUACAGGACCUUUACUUUUUCAAGAACGAAGAUUUAUACGUCAAUUUAAAAUUUAAAAUAAUGUCUUUGCGUUCAUGGAAUGUUCACUACUGAUCUGUAAUUUUAUUCUCAAUGUAAAUAAAAUAACCUUUCUUGCUACUUAUCUAACUUUGACUGUUUUCAUAUCUAUUGUUUUUAGUAUUUCUAAUUGAGUAAACAUAAAAUCAAUUUAAA